rnacentral:rRNA from 1 species
AUUGAACGCUGGCGGCAUGCCUUACACAUGCAAGUCGAACGGUAACGGGCCUUCGGGUGCCGACGAGUGGCGAACGGGUGAGUAAUACAUCGGAACGUGCCCGAUCGUGGGGGAUAACGAGGCGAAAGCUUUGCUAAUACCGCAUACGAUCUACGGAUGAAAGCAGGGGACCGCAAGGCCUUGCGCGGACGGAGCGGCCGAUGGCAGAUUAGGUAGUUGGUGGGAUAAAAGCUUACCAAGCCGACGAUCUGUAGCUGGUCUGAGAGGAUGAUCAGCCACACUGGAACUGAGACACGGCCCAGACUCCUACGGGAGGCAGCAGUGGGGAAUUUUGGACAAUGGGCGCAAGCCUGAUCCAGCCAUGCCGCGUGAAGGAUGAAGGCCUUCGGGUUGUAAACUGCUUUUGUACGGAACGAAAAGCCUUCUUUUAAUACAGGAGGGUCAUGACGGUACCGUAAGAAUAAGCACCGGCUAACUACGUG